UUUUUAAAUAACGGUAAUGUACCGUAUGAAGUACAGGAAUUGUCUCUAUUUUUGCUUAUGUAUGCCGAUGAUAUGAUACUAUUUUCUGAUUCUGUAAAAGGUUUACAAGAUAUGUUGGACACACUUUUAUUGUACACCCAAAAAUGGGGUUUAACUGUGAACAAUGCUAAAACAAAAAUUAUGGUAUUUAGAAAUGGUGGUAAUGUGAGGGUUGAAGAAAAGUGGUAUUUUGAUGGUAGUGUUAUUGACAUUGUUGAUGAAUUUUGUUAUUUAG
rnacentral:lncRNA from 1 species